rnacentral:rRNA from 1 species
AACGAACGCUGGCGGCAUGCCUAACACAUGCAAGUCGAACGAGAAGUCCCCGCAAGGGGAUUGUAAAGUGGCGCACGGGUGCGUAACACGUGGGUAAUCUGCCCUUUAGUUUGGGAUAACUUUUCGAAAGAAAAGCUAAUACCGGAGAGACCACAAGGACAUCAGUCCAGGGGGUUAAAGGUAGGGACCGCAAGGCCUAUCGCUAAAGGAUGAGCUCGCGCACUAUCAGCUAGUUGGUGAGGUAAUGGCUCACCAAGGCUAUGACGGUUAGCUGGUCUGAGAGGAUGAUCAGCCACACUGGAACUGAGACACGGUCCAGACUCCUACGGGAGGCAGCAGUGGGGAAUCUUGCACAAUGGGCGAAAGCCUGAUGCAGCAAUGCCGCGUGAGUGAUGAAGGCCUUCGGGUUGUAAAUCUCUGUCGGAUGGGACAAGCGAGUUCUCGUCUAAUAGGCGAGGAAAGUGAUGGUACCAUCAAAGGAAGAGGCGGCUAACUCUGUGC